AGUCGUAACAAGGUCUCCGUUGGUGAACCAGCGGAGGGAUCAUUACUGAGUUAUUAAAACUCCAAACCCUUUGUGAACCUUACUGUCGUUGCCUCGGCGUGAGCUACGGCUACCCUGUAGUUACCCUAUAGCUACCCUGCAGCUACCCUAUAGUUGACCAGUGGCUACCCUGUAGUUACCCUAUAGCUACCCUGCAGCUACCCUAUAGUUGACCAGUAGCUACCCUGUAGCCGGCUUAUGGCCCGCCGAAGGACCGCUAAACUCUUGUUUUUUACCACUGUUUCUCUGAAUUGUAAACUUAAAUAAGUUAAAACUUUCAACAACGGAUCUCUUGGUUCUGGCAUCGAUGAAGAACGCAGCGAAAUGCGAUAAGUAAUGUGAAUUGCAGAAUUCAGUGAAUCAUCGAAUCUUUGAACGCACAUUGCGCCCAUUAGUAUUCUAGUGGGCAUGCCUAUUCGAGCGUCAUUUCGACCCUUAAGCCCCUGUUGCUUAGCGUUGGGAAUCUACAGCGUAGUUCCUUAAAGUUAGUGGCGGAGUUAGGGUACACUCUCAGCGUAGUAAUCUUUCUCGCUCGUGUGGUGGCCCUGGCUGCUAGCCGUUAAACCCCUAUAUUUUCUAGUGGUUGACCUCGGAUUAGGUAGGAAUACCCGCUGAACUUAAGCAUAUCAAU
rnacentral:misc_RNA from 1 species